rnacentral:rRNA from 1 species
GACGAACGCUGGCGGCGUGCCUAAUACAUGCAAGUAGGACGCAGUUGCGAACGGGUGAGUAACGCGUAGGUAACUACCUACUAGAGGGGGAUAACUAUUGGAAACGAUAGCUAAUACCGCAUACUAGUAGAUGGACCUGCGGUGUAUUAGCUAGUAGGUAGGGUAAUGGCCUACCUAGGCAACGAUACAUAGCCGGCCUGGUGUGGUGAUCGGCCAAACUGGGACUGAGGCACGCGCCAGACUCCUACGGGGGGCAGCAGUAGGGGAUCGUUGGCAAUGGGGGGAAACCUGACCGAGCAACGCCGCGUGAGUGGAGAAGGUUUUCGGAUCGUAAAGCUCUGUUGUUAAGGAAGCGGUACUUAACCAGAAAGGGACGGCUAACUACGUGCCAGCAGCCGCGGUAAUUC